rnacentral:rRNA from 1 species
UAAACAUAGACAGUUCACGUACCCUACUGUCCGCCCGGGAACUACGAAGCGUCAGCUUAAAACCCAAAGGACUUGGCGGUGCUUUAAACCCACCUAGAGGAGCCUGUUCUAGAACCGAUAAUCCCCGUUCAACCUCACCCUUCCUUGUUCUAUCCCGCCUAUAUACCACCGUCGUCAGUUUACCCUGUGAAGGUCAAACAGUAAGCACAACCGGCAUAGCCCAAAACGUCAGGUCGAGGUGUAGCGUAUGGAAGGGGAAGAAAUGGGCUACAUUCCCUAAUAUUAGGGCAUACGGACGACAUACUGAAACGCAUGUCUGAAGGAGGAUUUAGCAGUAAGCAGGAA